rnacentral:lncRNA from 1 species
UGCAGCCCAAAAUCCAUGGCAAACAAGUCUUCUGGAUCAGACUGUUGUUGGUUAUCUGGUGUGGAGUAAGUGCACUUAGCAUGCUGACUUGCUCAUCAGUUUUGCACAGUGGCAAUUUUGGGACUGAUUUAGAACAGAAACUCCAUUGGAACCCCGAGGACAAAGGUUAUGUGCUUCACAUGAUCACUACUGCAGCAGAAUGGUCUAUGUCAUUUUCCUUCUUUGGUUUUUUCCUGACUUACAUUCGUGAUUUUCAGGUAAGAAGGCACAAUAUUAGAUUUAUUCAGUCAGACUUCCUUCUCUUAGUCCAGGAAGGUAGACUAAGAGAACUUUCCAUAGGCAACUCUCCCGCCUUUUUGAAAAUUAACUGUUUGUGAUUUGGUAUCAUAAACAAGUGAUGUAACUUUUCAGGUGAAUUGUUUCUGUGUUUAAAGAAGUAGUGUAUUGCUAGCAAGAUUUAGCCUUGAAAAUGGGGCUAUAAAAUAAAUUUCAGAAAUUCUUA